GCCUACGGCCAUACCAGCCUGGGUACGCCCGAUCUCGUCUGAUCUCGGAAGCUAAGCAGGGUCGGGCCUGGUUAGUACUUGGAUGGGAGACCGCCUUGGAAUACCAGGUGCUGUAAGCA
rnacentral:rRNA from 1 species